rnacentral:rRNA from 1 species
UACGUAGGGGGCAAGCGUUGUCCGGAAUCAUUGGGCGUAAAGCGCGUGUAGGCGGCUCGAUAAGUCUGCUGUGAAAGUCCAGGGCUCAACCCUGGGAUGCCGGUGGAUACUGUCGAGCUCGAGUCCGGAAGAGGCGAGUGGAAUUCCUGGUGUAGCGGUGAAAUGCGCAGAUAUCAGGAGGAACACCGAUGGCGUAGGCAGCUCGCUGGGACGUGACUGACGCUGAGACGCGAAAGCGUGGGGAGCAAACAGG